CAGACAUGACUGAGAGUUCGUGGAGUGGGAUGCCGUGGGAAGGGCUGGGACGUCUCCACCUGAGCAAGGAGAGAUCCCAGCAAGUGGAGAAGGGAUUUUUCAAGCCCGUGAGUUCCUUUGAGCUGUUGGCUACCGCCUGCCCAGACUUGCCACCUGACUUCUCCGAGUUUCUCCAGGAGGGUCCCAACUGCUUCUGCAUUGGCCCCAGAGAGGAGGCAGCUUUGAUUCAUGAGCACAGCGGGUUUCUGCAUCACUUCGAAUCACGCCGGUCCACCCAUGGGGAGGGAGCCAGGGCAACACAAGGGAUCAUCCCACAUCACUCCUGUAUGUUGCCUUCAGUGCCCUCAAUACCCCUGAGCAGGACCAAAGCACUUAGACAGAGAGACCCAAGCCAGUCACUGUAACAACUGGUGAAAUACCAGGUGUGCGAAGGUUGGAAGGAGCUUUUUGCUCCCGGCUUUGCUCAUGGAGCAGAGCUUGGCCCUUGCUGCUCUUGAUCCCUGGGUCUGUGGAGCUGUGGGAGCACGGCCUUCCCAAAGGUGCUGUGCUUGUGGCCCAGAGGACCGUGAGCCUGUCCAGGCCAGACAGCCCGGCUGCUGUUGUGCUGCACCCUCUCUGUUCCUGUAAGAGAAACGUACUGCCUGUAAUUAUCUCCCAUUCAAAUCCCGCCCCCCCAUGCACUGUUGAAAAUAAACUCUCCCUUUUGCAAAAA